UUGUAAAGUUAGUGGCGGACGGGUGAGUAACGCGUGAAUAACCUGCCCUGUACCGGGGGACAACAGUUGGAAACGGCUGCCAAUACCGCAUAAGCGCACGGUUCCGCAUGGAACAGUGUGAAAAACUCCGGUGGUACAGGAUGGAUUCGCGUCUGAUUAGCCAGUUGGUGGGGUAACGGCCUACCAAAGCGACGAUCAGUAGCCGACCUGAGAGGGUGACCGGCCACAUUGGGACUGAGACACGGCCCAAACUCCUACGGGAGGCAGCAUG
rnacentral:rRNA from 1 species